rnacentral:sRNA from 1 species
ACAUUUCCGCUGUUCUAAAUACGGCUGCCCUUCAGCAGAAGCUGUUCCCUGCAGACGGCGCCUGCGUAUCGAGCCUCCGUGAAGAAAAUCACUCCCCAGAAUGAGCCCGGCUUUGCGGCUGGGUCCUAAACUGCGACAUCUGAAUGGGACUCCGAGUGCCUUACAUCCCUGCAGCCCCUUCCUCUUCCUACACCCCCAGCAGCAAAUGAGGCACACCUGCAGACAGCAGCUAUCUCUCUGUGGACAGUGGUGGCCGCCGUGCAGGCUAUAGAGAGGAAGGUGGAGAUCCACAGCCGGCGACUCCUACACCUAGAAGGUCGGACAGGGACAGCAGAGAAGAAACUAGCCAGCUGUGAAAAGACAGUUACCGAGCUUGGGAACCAGCUGGAGGGCAAGUGGGCCGUGCUGGGAACCCUGCUGCAGGAGUACGGGCUGCUGCAGAGGCGGCUGGAGAACUUGGAGAACCUGCUGCGCAACAGGAACUUCUGGAUCCUGCGGCUCCCUCCAGGUAUUAAGGGAGAUAUCCCAAAGGUGCCUGUGGCAUUUGAUGAUGUCUCCAUCUACUUUUCCACUCCAGAGUGGGAAAAAUUAGAAGAAUGGCAAAAGGAA